ensembl:miRNA
CCCCGCACUCACCGGCGCAGCGGCUGACCUGGGAAGGCACUGGCCCCGGGUUACCGUCACGUCGGAGAGAGCGGGCGG